AGUGAACGCUGGCGGUAGGCCUAACACAUGCAAGUCGAACGGCAGCAUAGUAAGAGCUUGCUCUUACGGGUGGCGAGUGGCGGACGGGUGAGGAAUACAUCGGAAUCUACUUUUUCGUGGGGGAUAACGUGGGGAAACUUACGCUAAUACCGCAUACGACCUACGGGUGAAAGCAGGGGAUCUUCGGACCUUGCGCGAUUGAAUGAGCCGAUGUCGGAUUAGCUAGUUGGCGGGGUAAAGGCCCACCAAGGCGACGAUCCGUAGCUGGUCUGAGAGGAUGAUCAGCCACACUGGAACUGAGACACGGUCCAGACUCCUACGGGAGGCAGCAGUGGGGAAUAUUGGACAAUGGGCGCAAGCCUGAUCCAGCCAUACCGCGUGGGUGAAGAAGGCCUUCGGGUUGUAAAGCCCUUUUGUUGGGAAAGAAAAGCAGCAGGUUAAUACCCCGCUGUUCUGACGGUACCCAAAGAAUAAGCACCGGCUAACUUCGUG
rnacentral:rRNA from 1 species